AUGAACGCUGGCGGCGUGCCUAAUACAUGCAAGUCGAGCGAACGGACGAGAAGCUUGCUUCUCUGAUGUUAGCGGCGGACGGGUGAGUAACACGUGGAUAACCUACCUAUAAGACUGGGGUAACUUCGGGAAACCGUAGCUAAUACCGGAUAAUAUUUUGAACCGCAUGGUUCAAAAGUGAAAGACGGUCUUGCUGUCACUUAUAGAUGGAUCCGCGCUGCAUUAGCUAGUUGGUAAGGUAACGGCUUACCAAGGCAACGAUGCAUAGCCGACCUGAGAGGGUGAUCGGCCACACUGGAACUGAGACACGGUCCAGACUCCUACGGGAGGCAGCAGUAGGGAAUCUUCCGCAAAGGGCGAAAGCCUGACGGAGCAACGCCGCGUGAGUGAUGAAGGUCUUCGGAUCGUAAAACUCUGUUAUUAGGGAAGAACAUAUGUGUAAGUAACUGUGCACAUCUUGACGGUACCUAAUCAGAAAGCCACGGCUAACUACGUG
rnacentral:rRNA from 1 species